GCUUAACACAUGCAAGUCGAGGGGUAACAGGUCUUUCGGGACGCUGACGACCGGCGCACGGGUGAGUAACGCGUAUGCAACCUUCCCAUAGCUUGGGGAUAGGCCGGGGAAACCCGGAUUAAUACCCGAUACAGCGGUAGUAAUACCUAUUAUUAUCAGCGAAAGUUUCGGCGGCAAUGGAUGGGCAUGCGUGCCAUUAGGCAGUUGGUGGGGUAACGGCUCACCAAACCGACGAUGGCUACGGGGUCUAAAAGGAUGGGCCCGCACACUGGUACUGAGACACGGACCAGACUCCUACGGGAGGCAGCAGUGAGGAAUAUUGGUCAAUGGGGGGAACCCUGAACCAGCCAUGCCGCGUGCAGGAAGACGGCUCUAGUAGUUGUAAACUGCUUUUUUGCGGGAAGAAAGGUUUCUAUUCGUUAGGGAUUUGACGGUACUGCAGGAAUAAGCAUCGGCUAACUCCGUGCCAGCAGCCGCGGUAAUACGGAGGAUGCAAGCGUUAUCCGGAUUUAUUAGGUUUAAAGGGUGCGUAGGUGGAUAUUUAAGUCAGUGGUGAAAUUCUAUGGCUCAACCAUAGGCUUGCCAUUGAAACUAGGUAUCUUGAGUACAGACGCGGUAUGCGGAAUGAGUAAUGUAGCGGUGAAAUGCAUAGAUAUUACUCAGAACACCGAUUGCGUAGGCAGCAUACCAGACUGUUACUGACGCUGAGGCACGAAAGCGUGGGGAUCGAACAGGAUUAGAUACCCUGGUAGUCCACGCCGUAAACUGUGCUCACUGGUUGUUGGGGUUUUUAUUUCAGCGACUGAGCGAAAGCAUUAAGUGAGCCACCUGGGGAGUACGUUCGCAAGAAUGAAACUCAAAGGAAUUGACGGGGGCCCGCACAAGCGGAGGAACAUGUGGUUUAAUUCGAUGAUACGCGAGGAACCUUACCUGGGCUCAAACGCCUGAUGACGAUAUUCGAGAGGGUAUUUUCUUCGGACAUUGGCGAGGUGCUGCAUGGCUGUCGUCAGCUCGUGCCGUGAGGUGUCGGGUUAAGUCCCAUAACGAGCGCAACCCCUAUUCUUAGUUGCCAGCGAGUAAAGUCGGGGACUCUAAGGAGACUGCCACCGUAAGGUGAGAGGAAGGUGGGGAUGACGUCAAGUCAGCACGGCCCUUAUGUCCAGGGCUACACACGUGUUACAAUGGCCGGUACAGAGGGCAGCGACCUUGCAAGAGGGAGCGAAUCUCGAAAGCCGGUCUCGGUUCGGAUCGAAGUCUGCAACCCGACUUCGUGAAGUUGGAUUCGCUAGUAAUCGCGCAUCAGCCACGGCGCGGUGAAACGUUCCCGGGCCUUGUACACACCGCCCGUCAAGCCAUGGAAGCCGGGGGUACCUGAAGUUCGUA
rnacentral:rRNA from 1 species